rnacentral:rRNA from 1 species
AACGAACGCUGGCGGCAUGCCUAACACAUGCAAGUCGAACGAGACCUCCGGGUCUAGUGGCGCAUGGGUGCGUAACGCGUGGGAACCUGCCCUUAGGUUUGGCAUAACUCUCCGAAAGGGGUGCUAAUACCGGACAAUGUCUUCGGACCAAAGAUUUAUCGCGUUUGGAUGGGCGCGCGUUGGAUUAGCUUGUUGGUAGGGUAAAAGCCUACUAAGGCGACGAUUCAUAGCUGGUCUGAGAGAAUGAUCAGCGACACUGAGACUGGGACACGGCCCAGACUCCUACGGGAGGCGGGAGUGGGGAAUGGUGGACAGUGGGCGAAGUCCUGAACGAGCAAUGCCGCGUGAGUGAUGAAAGCCUGAGAGUAGUAAAGCUCAUUUACCCGGGAUGAUAAUGACAGUACCGAGAGAAUAAGCUCCGGCUAACUCCGUG